rnacentral:lncRNA from 1 species
AUAAUAAUAAUAAAAGCUCACUCGCUCCUCACCCGCUCUCUCUCCGUCAGAGAGCUCUACCGGUGCUAAAAGCAUCAUGAAGAAGAUAAUCCGCAAAAAUCAGUGAGUUUUUUAUCUUUUUUACUGUUUAUUAAGCAGGUAAACCCACUGUUAAUUUGUAACUCACUGAUAAACCCGCAAAAAAUCAUUUUCGGUUAAGUUAAUUUGUAUUAUUUUCUUCUUUUUCUUUUUUUUUUCUGGUUAUUCUCAAUGUAAAGAUUCAUGUUAAGGAGUUCGGGUUUUUUUCUCUGUUCUUCGAUUAUUUUGGAUCAAAACUUAUGAUUGGGGAUUUAUUCAAUGAUUUUUGGUGAAAAGAGCUGCAUAUUGAACAAACCCGCCUAAACAUGGAUUUCUCUCUCGAUUUGCAUUCAAAUCCAUUGAAAUCUGGUGCGAUUUUUCUUGAUUCAUCCCUUUACAUGAUCAAUAUAUUCAAUUUUUCAGUAUUUUAUUUUCAAUAUUUUUUUGUUUUUUUUUUCUCAGUUUUUUUUUUUUAUUUAUAGCUAAUAUCACUAUUGAUGGAUCUCGAACUGUCCAUGUUUUCCAAAUUUGGGUCAUUUUUUGUUUUUGUUUUUCUUUUUCUUUUUUUUUUAUGUUUGUUUUUUUUUUUUAUUUGUGCUUUGUUAUGGUGUGAUAAAUGUGCUCGAGCACUUCUUAAUUUGGUUUCGAAGGUACCUAUAAAUUAGGGUUUAAUUCCAUGGUGUAUCAACACCAUCAUUUGUAGAUCUCUUACUUUUAACACUUUUUUAUUAUUGCAAUCUCUAUAGCUCAUUAUUGCAAAAAUUGGAGUGAAGGAUUGGGCUCUAUCUCUCUCACACACACAGUUUCAGUUUGUCUCUUACUAGUUUCUGGGUUCGAUAUUCCUUGAAUAAUCUCCUUUUCCCAUCUUAAUAUUCACAAUUUAGUCUCUCUUUUGUUACAUAAUUUAGUCUCUCUUUUGUUACAUUAACUCUCAAGUGCACCAUUUUUUUUACUAGUUUAUUGAACUUCUAGGUUUUUUUUUUUUUGGAUUGAUAAUAUUCUAUACAAGUAGACUUUGUUCCCUGCAUCACUGUUGUAUUACCUACUAAGUCCAUAGGGGAAGGUAAAGUUAUCGGGUGAGAUGUUUUCAUGUAACAUGGGGGUGUAAAGAGCGCAUUAGAUGGGCAUGGACUUG